rnacentral:rRNA from 1 species
UACGAAGGGUGCAAGCGUUAUUCGGAAUUACUGGGCGUAAAGCGUGCGUAGGUGGUUCGUUAAGUCUGCUGUGAAAGCCCUGGGCUCAACCUGGGAAUGGCAUUGGAUACUGGCGACCUAGAGUGCGGUAGAGGGGUGUGGAAUUCCCGGUGUAGCAGUGAAAUGCGUAGAUAUCGGGAGGAACAUCGGUGGCGAAGGCGACACCCUGGACCAGCACUGACACUGAGGCACGAAAGCGUGGGGAGCAAACAGG